GACUAUGUUGAAGAAUAGUGUUUUGCUCUACCAAACAGUGUCAUUGUGCUGUAAACGUGGAGCAUUUUAGGAACUUCAUGCCUAAAGCCAUCUGUACAGAACUGUAACACCUGACCAGAGAGUUGAUCUGACCAUCUUAAACUCUUGUUCAGAUCAUUGCUAAAGUGAAGAGACAAGAAACCCACUAGCAGUUGGUUAGGGUCAUGUUUUUUUGUCACUUGGUGCUGUCAGCAGGGUUUAGGUUUUUCUUGUUCUCCAUACAAAGACAUUUCUUUACUUGUCUUUUUAUUAAAUCCUUCAUUUUGAUGCAUCGGUUAAUACUGUAAAUUAAUAAUGCACCACUCAGGAUGUGCUGCUUUUCUCUCCCAUUUAAAAUUGUCUUGUUUUGGCAUUAUGCAGAGGAACAAAUAGGAGACCUUGUUUUUCUAUGACAUUCACUAUUUUGUGCCUCCUCCGCUCCACAUAAACUCUAUUCACACAUUUACCUUUUCAUCUGCUUUCUGUAUCAAGCAGCUGUGUUCCCUCCAUCUCUACAUAGAAGUAUUUCCAGGCUUUCAGCUGAUGUAUGUUUGUGUGGCAGGGCACUGCUUUGUCCAGCUGCUCAGUGACAGAAAGGAACCCGAUGACAAUACAACCAAAGUUCUGUUAAGUAGAACAAUCAACUAUCUCGUUGUACAUUCUUGGGCCUUAGUGACUUUCAAUCAGGGAGACAAAUUUAGACCAGAAUCUUGUGUGGUGCCAUACUUCCUACCACCCCAUAGUCUGUGCUGUGCUGGAGUAUGGACCUAGGGCAGCUGGUAGUUGUCAGCUCCUGGGACUUUUGUCAUCCAUUGGCUUAAGGAUACUGUGUAGAGAGAGUGAGAUGAAGGCAUGGUCAGACGAAGUGAACUGAGCUAAGCUACAUAACAGGGGAGCGCUGGAAUAACUCUUCAUUGGUCUGUCUCACAGCUACACUUCAUGCCCUGGACCUGCAAGACCUUCUUUAGGAUAGAUGUUUUCAAGUUGGCAGUGCCUGUAAUUGCUUUUUGUCUUAGAGAUACACAGUGCAGUACAGUGAUUUGUAUUCAGAAGACACCUGCAGAGUCAACAUUAAUAAAGAACUAACCAUCAAAAGGCAAAACAGAUGGCUAGUGAUACGUGUGCUAGUGCUGAGCUCAAAGAGGUUCCCACAAUCCUGAAUUCCUUCAUUAAGAACCAAGCCAAAAAGCUGAGAGUGCCCCAGUUUCAUGGAGCAGGACCGUAGUUUAGGAGCUGUUGUGGACAGCCUGCUCUCCAGUCACAGGCCUCUGCACCUUUACCUGCACCACCUGUACUGGAGUACCCUCAUCUUCCUCACCUCAGAGCUGGGCUGGGCUCACAGUUACUGGUCUGAGUGCUGCCCUCCUUCUCCACCAUUGUAGAGUGCAGAGGGCUGUGCAGUCACGGCUGUCUCCCACCUGGACUGUGCUGAUAUGUGCACCACAGAUCUCUGCACCACAGAUCUCUGCAAGAUUUGCUGUCACGUCCAGCAAAAGAGAUAUUCAUGAAUUCUCACUUUAAAUCCUGUUCCAUUUCAAAAUGCUGUUCCCUUGAGGGCUUUUUUUUUUUCAGUACCUGCAAGCCUGCUAGGUUUUUUUAACAUACAGAUAGGAGCAUUUAGUGGAAAAAAAAAAAUAGGGACAUUUCCUAUUUUUGAAAUACAUCUAAUAGAAAUACAUCUCUCUAUCAAAAUACGUCUAAUAGAAAGAGCUUUUAGAAGAAAAAGAACUGAAAAGAUUCACUGCUUUUAAGGAACAGUUGAAACCUAUCUUUCAUUACAGCAAGACUUAGGGGUGGCUUUGAUCUCUCAAUAUUAUCAGACCAAAGCCAGUUAAUACCUAGAGUAGCAGCAUUAGCUUUUGUACAGAAUUCUUUAAAUGACUUCUAGGGCCAUUAGAGUCAAUUGUAAAACACCACUGCGUUUACCUAACCAGAAUUUCCCCAGCAGAUCAGUCCAUAAAAAGCUUUAGAUGUUGCAAUAGCGAAUGUUGCAGUUUUGAACUUUUAGCACUUUUAUCCAGCUUCAUCCCACUGACUUUGGGAACCUUAGCCAGGAGCAUAACCUUGCUAUGCUCCUCUGAAGUCAUUGGAAGUCUCUGGAGAACGAGUCAGGCUGACUGUCACAUGGGAUGAAGCCACGAUCUUGGCAGUUGCUGAAAUGCCCAGCCCUGGGUUGUGUACCUGGGCUUUCUGUUGAACAAAUGAACCCACAUGCCUCUGGAUGGGAUCUAGGAAAGUCACCAGAGGAGCCCUCUUACCUCACAGACACGAAAGGGCUGGGGAUGAAAGUCCCUUCCCAGCCCCAAGAGGCUGCAGAUGCCUUCAUGCUUUCCUUCCUUUCUAGGAGCAGCAAGGACACAUCUUUUGCUGUGGUAGCCUUGCUUCCACCCUCUUCUCCAGCCAAGGUAGUUUUAACCUAGAUCUUCAUGUGGCCAACUGCCUGUAACUGGGUGGUGCUCUUGGUUUCUCCAGAUAAAUUGUUAGUACUGCUUCCAGCUCUCUCUACAGCAUGAAUCUUGCAGUAAAGUCCAGUGGCUGCAAAUAGAGGACACCCUGGGCUCCUUUAGUCUUGAUCUCUCCUAUGCACAUAAAUGGAAGCAUGCAUGAAGUCCAUUUUCAUGAAUAGUUGAAAAAAUAGGUGAAUAACUUUGUCAUGUUUGAAUUGCUCAGGAAGCAAGUUGAUCUGCUGUCUACACAAUACUCACCAUGAAAUAUUGGCAUCAUGUGUUUGCCAAAAUAAAUAAAUAAGUAGGUUUUUACCUGACAGUCUGAGAAAUAAAGCUCACAAUGAGAAGAUCAGUUUUAAAAACAUAAGCACUUUGUUAAGAGACAAUAGUGUACCAUUCGUGAGUCUACUAAGGUUUUGUGAAAAACUGGGUAGACAAAAUGAGAAUCACCACCAAAAGGAAUGGAACGUCAUGUACUUUAAGCAAGGAAUCAGUUCAAGGAAAAUGAAAUAUCUUCAUAAAAUAUUGAAUUAUUAAAUGGACAGGAUACUAAAUUAAAAAAAAAAGAAAGAAAGAAAAUAGGAAGCCAACACAAGAACACAGAAAACAGAAAAACUGUAGAAAAGAAGAGCUAUCAAGGUCACCAGCUAACAAAAUAAACUUCUGAGAGUUGUUCUUGUGCAUUUAUGCACUGGAAACGAGCAGUAUUCUGUUCCUAUAUAUGUAGUGUGUUUUUCUGUUCUCAAGGCAAUAUAAAAUGUUUCUGCACAAUAUAUUAUUUAUUUUAUAAAGCUCUCAUAGAAGCUACAAACGCACACAUUAAAUAUAUAUAUGAACGUAUGUUAUAAUAAGGUAACUCAUUACUUACCUGCAUAGUGAAAAUGAUCUAGUUUUCAGUAAUGAAGAGGAGAAUCAGAUUCAGGUUAAUGAGAACAUUUCUCUGAUUAACCUUCUCUGUAGCCAAUGACUUGUAUUGGUCCAUCAGCCAUCCAUGCCUAAGUAGUGUUGCCAAAUGAAUUACAUCCAUACUAAAAAAAAUACAGAAAAAAAAAUCAUGAUCCACUAAAUAAAAUCUGGAAUAGUGUAAAUGAACACCAGAAAAACCUCAGUAAGAGCACUCAAACACCUCAAGAUAUGCUACUCAUGACCAAAUUAAUAGAGUUUACAGUCUUACCAGUAUUAAAUACCCAAGUGAAAAUUGAAUCAUAGGAGAAAAAAAUUUAUGGGCAAUUAAAAAUCCCAUAAGAUUUUUACUUGUUAAUGAAGACAAUUCUGCAUACUAGUGACUGAAAGAUAAUCGUGCUUAGCAACUGGCAGAUGUCAUUCCUACACAUAAAAUCAGCUGUUAGUCUUAACCCAUUUACUAAAAGUGAGAAUGUAGCUGUAUCAUUAAACCCUGUUGUGCUCUGGGCCCAUUGAAUAAGGACUGGAGUUUGAGAAGCCAAAAUGAGGAGAUGAGAUGGACUUGACUUAAUUCCCUCUGUCAAUACUGUGGUUAAAUUAUCCGUAUAGAACAGUGUGAGGAAAAUCUCUUUUCCUUUCAGGUAAAAUCCCUUUUUCCUCCAGUGUGAGGAAAAUGCCGUUCUAGCAUCUGUUACGGAGAUAAAUACAGGUGUUCUUCUCCUGAAGCAACCAACUAAAUACCUGAAAUGCCACUAACUUUUCUUUAAAAAAUAAAAUCAAAACCAAAACCACAAGAUGUGAGUUCAUCCCAAAGCUGGUCUGCAGGCUGUCAAAUACUCAAAAGUCAUUGUGGGAAGAGAUGUGUGAAGCCAUUUGGGGUUUUCAUUGCCCCCACUGAAGGCAUAAAUCAGGUAUCAGUUGCUGGAAGUUUAGAAGAGCUACUCCUGUGGGUGGGUUACUACAUCAUUUUGUUGAACCUUUCUUUGAAAUGUGGUACUGGCCACUGAGCAAGAAACAGUAAUGGGCCCAUCUGUCUAGUGGUCUGCUAAAAUACGGCAAUUCUUCUGUUCCUGUGGUACUUAAUAGAGCAAAAAUCAAAAAUAAUUCACCAGUAAUUGAUUAGAUAACUGUUGAUUUUAGUAUUUAUGAGCUGUCACACACAGAGCUCCAAACCUUCAAAUAUGGCUAUUAUUCAAAAUUUGUUGUGAUUCCCUCUACAAAACCCUCCCAGAGAUUAGAGGGUUCAUUAAGAUAAAAUAAAUGGAGAGUGUGCACUGAAUUAGUAGGCUUUAUGUUGUUUCAGACUUCAGACAAGCUCAUAGCUGCAAAUAAAUAUCAAAGUACAAAUUGAAAACAUUGAGUGUUACAAAUGAGUAUGUAAUGAAAAACUGAUUUUUGAAAAAAGGAGCAUAAAGUAUGCUACACAGAUGGUGAAGAGUCUUGAGGGCAAGAUGUAUGAGGAGUGGCUGAGGUCCCUUGGUUUGUUCAGGCAAGAGCAGAGGAGGCUGAGGAGAGGCCUCAUGGUGGCUGCAGCUCCUCACAAGUAGAGCAAAGGGGCAGCGCUAAUCUCCUCUCUCUGGGGACAGCAGACCCUGGGCCCAAAGAAUGGCAUGGAGCUGCAUCAGGGAAGAGUCAGGUUAGGAAAAGAUUCUUCACCAGAAGGUGAUGGGCAUGGAACAGGCUGCCCAGGGUAGAGGUCACAGCCCCAAGCUGCCAGAGUUCAAGGAGCCUCUGGACAACACUCUCAGACAUAUGGUCAGUUUUUUGAGUGGUCUUGUGCAGCUGGACUCAGUGACCCUUAUGUGUCCCUUCCAACCUGGGAUAGUCAGUGAUUUUAUGAUUCUGUGCCUUUUAUGCACACUUGUCACGCACAACUGCAAAAGAUCUAAUGCUUAAAACCCAAGUAUAGUACACAUUGAAUUUCAAAUGUCAGAAAUAUAUGGCCUAGAGAUCUUUUCUGGCCAAAUUCUGACUUCUCCACAAGCCAAAUCAAUGGACAAACACUGCCUGUUACCCCCCAGCAUUGUGCUUACUAGAAGCAGGUUUUGGCAUGCAGGAUCAGCGAUGCCCCCAUCUCAACCAUAGCUCCCACCUCUCUAGCAGGGGAAGCAUGUGGCCACUAACUUCAUUUUUCAGCAGCACUUUCUUAAUUAUGUUUUGCUAAUUAUGUUAUUGACCUUCCUCCGAGGAAGUUCCUCUCUUGAGAGAACAGAAUUAACUCAAUUAAUUUAAAAAUGGAAGGUGUUCUUACGUUUUUUUUUUCUUUUCUUUUUAGAGAACAGCCUAAAAAUGGCUUAGAAAGGAAGGAAGGCUGCCUGAACUGCCUAUACUCAACCAUUUCAGACUCAUGGAAAUUACUCUCUAUAUGCUGAACCUAGGCCAUUGGUUCACUCCCUCUAAUCCACUGUGAACAGUAUAUUGUUCUACUUCUAUGACAUAAAAAAAAGAAAAAUAAGUGACUGAUACAAACAACAUACCAAACAAAUCACUGGACAGACAUGUCCAACCUGCAGCAUGCAGCCUGCUGCAGCCCAUGGGCCACAUGCGGCCUGGCACAUCUCGCCAUGUGGCUGCCCUCUGCCCCUCGCCAUCAUGGUGGCAGCUCUGCCCCAUGCACACCCAUCACUUAUCAAUUACCAAACACCAGUGCUUUAUUAACCCCAUCUGGGCUGAAACCGGGUCAUGGAGAGAGCACAGUGCAGUGCCUGCUCAAGUUACGGUAAAUAAGUUUAUGGAUUUUCAUACAUUCGCUAAACACAGUCACAGUGAACAGCAAAAAAUAUGCAGCCUUGCUUUCCAUUUUGAUACGGGAAUUUGAGAACAGGUUUCAAGAUUGCAAAAAAAAUCCCAAUUUUUUUUGGUUUAUUUGUGACUCCUUUUCCAGUUGACAUAAAUACAUGACCUGCAAAUUUUCAAAUGAAAUGCACAGAGUUGCAAUCAGAUAUUCAACUGAAAAACUUGAUCAUGUCUCUCUACUGGACUUUCAUAAGCCCUCUUUUAUCAGAGAGAAAUAUCCUUCACUUCACAGUCACUCCUUAUCCAUGUCAUCACUGUUGGCAGUACGUACAUUUGUGAACAACUGUUUUCAAAGAUGAAUCACAGGAAGAAUAAAAUUUCAUCAAAAAUCUCUGACAAACACCUUGAGAACUCAAUGAGAACGGCAACCACUGCCAUCGAAUCACUGCCAACCUGAUGCAUUAGUUUCACAGAAACAAGAUUCAAUAUCCCUCUAGUUUUAUGGUUUUGUUGCUCUCCUUUUUAUGUUUUAAUAAAAAAUAUUAAAAAAU
ensembl:lncRNA